rnacentral:pre_miRNA from 1 species
UCUUAGGGAUGAGUAAGUAAAGUGGUUUCUUGAGAUGGAAUCUACUUCUGGUGAAGAUGCUGUGAA